rnacentral:rRNA from 1 species
GACGAACGCUGGCGGCGUGCUUAACACAUGCAAGUCGAACGGAAAGACCCUGCUUUUGUGGGGUGCUCGAGUGGCGAACGGGUGAGUAACACGUGAGUAACCUGCCCUUGACUUUGGGAUAACUUCAGGAAACUGGGGCUAAUACCGGAUAGGAGCUCCUGCUGCAUGGUGGGGGUUGGAAAGUUUCGGCGGUUGGGGAUGGACUCGCGGCUUAUCAGCUUGUUGGUGGGGUAGUGGCUUACCAAGGCUUUGACGGGUAGCCGGCCUGAGAGGGUGACCGGCCACAUUGGGACUGAGAUACGGCCCAGACUCCUACGGGAGGCAGCAGUGGGGAAUAUUGCACAAUGGGCGGAAGCCUGAUGCAGCAACGCCGCGUGAGGGAUGACGGCCUUCGGGUUGUAAACCGCUUUCGCCUGUGACGAAGCGUGAGUGACGGUAAUGGGUAAAGAAGCACCGGCUAACUACGUG